rnacentral:lncRNA from 10 species
GCCAGCCGCCCCGUCUGGGAGGUGAGGGGCGCCUCUGCCCGGCCGCCCCUACUGGGAAGUGAGGAGCCCCUCUGCCCGGCCACCACCCCGUCUGGGAGGUGUGCCCAACAGCUCAUUGAGAACGGGCCAGGAUGACAAUGGCGGCUUUGUGGAAUAGAAAGGCGGGAAAGGUGGGGAAAAGAUUGAGAGAUCGGAUGGUUGCUGUGUCUGUGUGGAAAGAAGUAGACAUGGGAGACUUUUCAUUUUGUUCUGCACUAAGAAAAAUUCCUCUGCCUUGGGAUCCUGUUGAUCUGUGACCUUGCCCCCAACCCUGUGCUCUCUGAAACAUGCGCUGUGUCCACUCAGGGUUAAAUGGAUUAAGGGCGGUGCAAGAUGUGCUUUGUUAAACAGAUGCUUGAAGGCAGCAUGCUCGUUAAGAGUCAUCACCACUCCCUAAUCUCAAGUAAUCAGG